rnacentral:rRNA from 1 species
GAUGAACGCUGGCGGCGUGCCUAAUACAUGCAAGUCGAGCGAACGGACGAUAAGCUUGCUUCUCUGCUGUUAGCGGCGGACGGGUGAGUAACACGUGGAUCACCUACCUAUAAGACUGGGAUAACUUCGUGAAACCGGUGCUACUACCGGCUAAUAUUUUCUACCGCUUGGUUCAAAAGUGAAUGACGGUUUUGCUGUCACUUUUAGAUGGAUCCGCGCUGCAUUAGCUAGCUGGUAAGGUAACGGCUUACCAAGGCAACGAUGCAUAGCCGGCCUGAGAGGGUGAUCGGCCACACUGGAACUGAGACACGGUCCAGACUCCUACGGGAGGCAGCAGUAGGGAAUCUUGCGCAAUGGGCGAAAGCCUGACGGAGCAACGCCGCGUGAGUGAUGAAGGUCUUCGGAUCGUAAAACUCUGUUAUUAGGGAAGAACAGAUGUGUAAGUAACUGUGCACAUCUUGACGGUACCUAAUCAGAAAGCCACGGCUAACUACGUG